GGGCUGGGCGGAGCGCCGGGCCGGGCCGGGCCGGGCCGGGUCGGGCCGCUAUAACAGCCGCCGCAGUCACCCCCCGCCCGCCUUUGUCUGUGCUGUUCCCGCCUCGCCUCACGCCAUUCUCUCCACCGGGGCCGCCUUCCUUCCCUUUCUAGGGGCGGGAGAAGGAGCCCCGACUCCCCGGGACAGCCGGGCUCUCACCGUCGGUAAGGAGCCCUCUCCUUCUCUCGGCAGGCGUUGCCGCUUCCCGGAGAGCGGGCGCUGGGCGCGGCGGAGAGGGGCCGACGAUGGACCGUGACGGGCCGGACGCCAUCCGCCGUGAGGCGGAGCUGGAGCACAGCCGUUACCUGGAGCGGCGGGCCGUGGCGCAGGAGCAGCUGGCGCAAAUAAAGGAGCACAAGCAUCAGGCAGAUCUGGCCAAGCUAGAAAAUAGAAGACAAGGGGAACAAAUACAGAGAUCGUACCAGUUGUACCAACAGGAAAUUCAGAGAGGAAAAGAAAAGGAACAGGAGGAAAAAGUUGAACGCCAGAGGCUCCAUCAUGAACAUGUAGCUGAACAGAAAAUAAUUAAAGCUGAAGAGAAGCAAAAAGAAGAUGAAGAUGAUGAUCGGAUUAAGGCUUAUAUUAAAGGAAAAGAUAUGAUGGCUGAUCUGUCAAGAGAGAAAGCUGAAGAGACUAAUAGGAUAGUGCAAGAGCAUAAGGAUAGAGCUUGUGAAAAACUAGCUGCACAGAUGAAUGAGGCGUGUAAGAUGGAGGAUGAUCGUCUUGCUAGAGGAGCUGCAGAGGUAGAAGAUGAAUACCAAAUCAAAAACAAAGAGAAAGAAGCAAAAAAAAAGGCUGCCAUUGAAUCUAUUGCUGAUUACAGAGCCAGUGCGAUGAAGAUGAAAGUGGAAAAGGAGAGAGAGGAAAAAGCAGAGGAUGAGAAGGAUCGUAAUCAGUGGAUGACAGCAGAUCGUGCUUACUUGGAAGUGGAAAAAGCCAAGAAACAAAAACAACAUGAUGCCAACAUGGAAGUACAGAAAAUUCAGAUCCAGCAAAUGGCUGAAAAGCAGGCAAAAAAACAGCAGGAAAAGCAAGCAGAUUUGGACUAUGAUACUCAGAGAGAAGCUGCUUUUCAUAAGGAUCGAGCAUUUCAGCGAUAAAGAUGUGCUCCUUUUACUACUUCGAGCUUUUUUCAGCAAGCAGAAAGAAUGGAAACUUUUAAUAAAGCCUUCUGAUCACAAAAGCUGAAGCCUUGAGAAGAAGCAUUGACUGCAGCAGAAGUGGUGCUGAUAUCUGCAGAGCUUGAUAAUGCUCCAAAUGCAUCCCUAAGUGCAUAUUUACACAUGCUCACUACUGUGUGAUUGAAAUGCAUCUGAUGACUACAGAAGUAUCUGCUAAGGACCAAGCCACUAGCCACUGCCGCCUGACAAGUUCUACGUGCCUGCAAAACUUACCGGUGCCCAACAGCUGAAGUGAACUCGGGAGCAAGUUAGAAGGCAUGCUCUCUGCCAGAACCUGCCUGUACUCAACUUCAGCUCAAGAAAAAAGUAACAUAGCUACAGCCACAACUGGCAACUGUACCUGUAACUACCCUAGUUUAUUAUGGAGCAAAGCAGUAGAUUAACUUUCUAGGAAGUCAAGAGGUAACAACCAAAGGUAAACUAUCAAUUCAUCUCUGGUGUACUCAAGUAUUGCUAGGCCUCCAGGCUUAAAUAAAACCUUAUGUUUUGGCUUAAAAAAAACCUUCCUGAGCAAAUAAUAAAAUUGAAUAAGCAGUUUAAAAGCAUCUGUCUGUAACAAGAUGAAUGUUGAGUGUACAUUUUAUUUAUGACCAUUUUGUAUUUACGCUUACUUUGGAGAAUGCAGUAGAAGAUACAAGUGUUAUCUUUAGAAAGUUGUGUCACUGGCCGAGUCUUUAGUCCUUCCUGGGAAAGAGAUGUCUGCAGCAAGACUGUGUGUAUCUCACACUCAGGUUUCUAAACUGAUUAUAGGAAAGGGGAAAAGCACUUUCCUGCUUUCUCCUAAGCACUCUGCUGCCAGCACAGCCAGGGUGCCAGGCUGGGAUACUGCUGUGGGUGACUUUUUGAUAGAUACUUGUUCUUUCCCUCAAUUCUAAGCCACCUGUAAGCUGUCCUACCAUUUCAUUUAAAUUUACAUCAUCAUACAGGUAGUUCUUCUGUAACUAGUGAAAAUUAUUCUGCUUCACACACACAAAGAGACUGUUGUAUUUGCUUUAGUACAAGAUCAAAGUUUGCAGCUAGCAAAAAAAUUACUCAUGAAAUACUAGAUCAGCUGCACUACAUGGCUGCAUUUUUAUACAUUAAAAUAUAUAGACUGUGAAUAGACUUACUUGUCAUUAUGUAGUAGAAAGCUCAGAUUCUGUCUGUAACUCAAUGCUAUCAUCCAAUUUAGCAUGGAAUAAAAAUCUGACUAUUCCUAUCUUCAGUAAAAAUGUAUGGCACUCUUUAACUGAA